rnacentral:tRNA from 1 species
GCCCGCUUGGCGGAAUUGGUAGACGCAGGGGACUUAAAAUCCCCCGGCCGAUCAGGCCAUGCCGGUUCGAGUCCGGCAGCGGGCACCA